UGGAUAUGUGCCCAGGAGAGGUAUUUACUCUUAUGAUACAUAUUAACAUAGUAAAGACGGAAAAAAUCCUGCAGUAAAGAAACCUAUUUUAAAGUUGUUUUUCUCAAUGCUUUAUCUCGGGAGCAUUUCUUCCUUGGCUAUACAUUAUCAGCCAUAGGGAGCAGGCAGCGAUGGAAAAUGCACCUUGGGAUGAUCAGGUUGGAAAUAUUUGGACUGGACACAUGAGAUGCAAUGAAAUUUUUUUUUAGCAUGAAAGACGAGAGGAUAUUCCUCCAGGCAGAGGAAUUUCAAGUAAGUCAGCAUGCGUGGGAGACAAUGAUGUUUAUGCUGUUGGGUGGCAGAUUUCUGUGUAAAACCCUUUAAAGGAAGAGAGAAAUCAAAGUGGACACUGGCAGGAUACAAGGAGGUGGCUACUUGUCUACUAGCAAUGACAGAUGAAGCCUAAUGGCUGGAAGGGAAGUUGUGCAGCUCAGAUGAUAGUGACGGGGGAACAGUCACAGGUAAGACCCCCAUCUUCUGCACGAUGACAUAUGGGCUACCCAUAAAUCUCCAUACAGAAGAAAAAUGCCAUAAAGAAGGAAACGAGAGGGUGAAAAAAUUAUUGCACAACUUUAUCCUUAACUCCCUUUUAC
rnacentral:lncRNA from 1 species